UGCACAUAUUGCUAUAGCUUUAUCUAGGCAUUCUUUGGUUACCUAAUCAUACAUCACCAUCAAGAAUACUAUUAAACAUGUGAUUGGGAUUGAAAACCAUAGGUGAAACAAACUAUGAACUAAAAUUAAGUCUAAAAGUAAAUUUCAAAAAAAAAAUUAAGUAAAAAA